GAUUUGUCUGGUUUAUUCCGAUAACGAGCGAGACGCAGCCUACUCAAUACUUCGAGAAUAAUUUUGUUCUCAGAAGUUCUUAGAGGAAUGGGCGGUAUAGAGCCGCACGAAAUUGCGCAAUAACAGGUCUGUGAUGCCCUUAGAUGUCCGGGGCUGCACGCGUGCUACACUGGAGUCUGCAGCGUGUUCCAUGGCCGAAGGGUCAUUGGUAAACCAUUGAAAAGACUCCGUGAUCGGGAUAGGGAAUUGCAACUAUUUCCCUUCAACGAGGAAUUCCUAGUAAGUGUGAGUCAUCAUCUCGCUCUUAUUACGUCCCUGCCCUUUGUA
rnacentral:rRNA from 1 species